rnacentral:sRNA from 1 species
GAACCUCAAAACGACGAAAGCCCUACCUCUCUUCCAUCCUUACGGCUCCGAAGACCGUGCCAGUGUGAAUUGCGUUGACAAAAAUAAA